GAUCCAGACUCCUACGGGAGGCAGCAGUGGGGAAUAUUGCACAAUGGGGGAAACCCUGAUGCAGCGACGCCGCGUGAGUGAAGAAGUAUUUCGGUAUGUAAAGCUCUAUCAGCAGGGAAGAAAAUGACGGUACCUGAUUAAGAAGCCCCGGCUAACUACGUGCCAGCAGCCGCGGUAAUACGUAGGGGGCAAGCGUUAUCCGGAUUUACUGGGUGUAAAGGGAGCGUAGACGGCAGCGCAAGCCAGGAGUGAAAGCCCGGGGCCCAACCCCGGGACUGCUCUUGGAACUGCAUGGCUGGAGUACAGGAGGGGCAGGCGGAAUUCCUAGUGUAGCGGUGAAAUGCGUAGAUAUUAGGAGGAACACCGGUGGCGAAGGCGGCCUGCUGGACUGUGACUGACGUUGAGGCCCGAAGGCGUGGGGAGCAAACAGGAUUAGAUACCCCCGUACC
rnacentral:rRNA from 1 species